rnacentral:rRNA from 1 species
GGAAUAUUGCGCAAUGGGGGAAACCCUGACGCAGCGACGCCGUGUGGGUGAGGAAGGCUUUCGGGUCGUAAAGCCCUGUCAGGUGGGAAGAAAUGGUUAACGGUUAAUACCCGUUAGUUUUGACGGUACCACCAAAGGAAGCACCGGCUAACUCCGUGCCAGCAGCCGCGGUAAUACGGAGGGUGCAAGCGUUGUUCGGAAUUACUGGGCGUAAAGGGCGCGUAGGCGGCCAAUUAAGUCAGAUGUGAAAGCCCACGGCUCAACCGUGGAAGUGCAUUUGAAACUGGUUGGCUUGAGUAUCAGAGGGGAAAGUGGAAUUCCCGGUGUAGAGGUGAAAUUCGUAGAUAUCGGGAGGAAUACCGGUGGCGAAGGCGACUUUCUGGCUGAAUACUGACGCUGAGGCGCGAAAGCGUGGGGAGCAAACAGGAUUA